rnacentral:rRNA from 1 species
UACAGAGGAUGCAAGCGUUAUCCGGAAUGAUUGGGCGUAAAGGGCGCGUAGGCGGUGCCACAAGUCACCUGUGAAAUCUCCGGGCUUAACUCGGAGCCUGCAGGCGAAACUGUGGUGCUGGAGUGUGGGAGAGGUGCGUGGAAUUCCCGGUGUAGCAGUGAAAUGCGUAGAGAUCGGGAGGAACAUCAGUUGCGAAGGCGGCUCUCUGGACCAGCACUGACACUGAGGCACGAAAGCGUGGGGAGCAAACAGG